rnacentral:lncRNA from 1 species
GGACUGAGGAGAGAGCCUCACAAGCUGCCUGCGCUUUCCCCCUGCCUCAGGCAAGGAGGCAGUGGGUGGGGAAGAUUAGCCUCAAAGGAGCCACAUUGAGCACUGUAGCCAUACUUACUGAUAGGGAGGGAACCUUCACAGUUCUGGAAACUGAAAACAGGCUGCCUCUUUCAGCAUGUACGUACUUCCUAGGCCUGGCUUGCUUAGGCUCAGCUUAGAUAGGCCUAGACUCCCUUGCUGUCUGACACGGCGCCAGUAGAAAAGCAAAGUCAAGUCUAAUGAUAACAGUGUAGAGAGGGGAAUUGCAAGUCAGAAAAGUGUCAGUAGGACACGCUGCUGGAAGAACCUUGGCCUUCGGCUUGUAACAAGCCCUGAUGCAGGCGGCUCUGUAGGCCUCAGGCUGUGUGAAGCAGAGUCACUGCUGACCCAGGUCAUCAUCCUGCUGUGUGACAGCAACCUCAGACAUGCUCUCAGGCAACCUCUGACAUCCCACGUGGGGCACCGUCAUGCUUCCGUGCAGAGCACCGGAUCCGCUCGCAGGCACUGCUCGCCUCCAGUCAGCUUCCAGGCAACUCCCCGCAGCACCACCGUUCUGGCCCGCACGACCUCAGCAGGCUGCCCCACUUCAUGGCUGCAGGCGCCAUCUUGGACUCACAGGCUGGCAUCUGUCCAAUUCUCACCCAGAGGGGGCGGAGUCAGUCAGCAGGGGGCCCCACGACAUCUCCUGACGGGCCAGCAGGCAGCUUGGGAGAGGGGUGAUUGGCAGGGCCUUCCUGCUCCGGGACGGGAGUUAGCCGUGGCUGGUUGCUGGGCUGCCAGGGCAACCUGCCUAGGCCGGCAGCAGCCCGAUGGGCCUGUGGCCGCGGCCUGUGUGGUGAAGGGUGGCCAGCCCCUCGGGAGGGGCAGGAAUGGUCCAGGAGGGACAGGAUGUCAUGGUGGAGUCGCUCUUUGGCCACGUCCUUCGGGAGGCGGCCCAUGUGGUCACGGAGGGUCUGCUUGGCCCCAUGUUGGAGGAGAAUGCAGGCCACUUUGUAACUUCCCUCUUGGGCUGCCAGGAACAACGGCGUCUGUGCCUACGAGCAGAACAAGACGUUGAAAUCGCCAGAUGUGGCGGCAUCGCUCAAGGCUGGCCCCAGCUACCUCCUGGUUCAUUAGCCACCUUUUGUGGCUUGCCAGAGACUUGACUGGGUGCACUGAACUUCAAGGCUUCUAUUUAGUGUGUCUUUCUCACUCAU